rnacentral:rRNA from 1 species
UACGUAGGGUGCGAGCGUUAAUCGGAAUUACUGGGCGUAAAGCGUCCGCAGGUGGCAGUUCAAGUCCGCUGUCAAAGACCGGGGCUUAACUUCGGAAAGGCAGUGGAAACUGAACAGCUAGAGUAUGGUAGGGGCAGAGGGAAUUCCUGGUGUAGCGGUGAAAUGCGUAGAGAUCAGGAAGAACAUCGGUGGCGAAGGCGCUCUGCUGGACCAUAACUGACACUCAGGGACGAAAGCUAGGGGAGCGAAUGGG